UCAUGCUGACACAUUUUGUUUUCUCUUUUCUUUCAGCUUUAACCACACUUGAGUAAGAACACUCUGACUUGGAAACACUCACAUUUCCCACGUGUGACUGAAUGGCCCUCGCCACGCUGGGAACGGAAUGGGGUGGAGGGGGAAGUUGUACCCCCAACUUCCACUGAUAAAUUUUUCUUUCAGCUUAUUGGUUUUCAUUGAUGAGAGAGUUGUGCAAGCCAAGGGCCCAGGCAUUGCCAGGAAAGAGGGGAGCCAUUCGGUGACCACUCAUGCCCGGUGCCAGCGGAAACCUGAGUGUGGUCCUUGCUGCCCUGGCCUCUGCUGAAGUUGGACCCACACUCAUCUAAACUCAUUGGGGCCGUUCUCUAGGCAGCCUCAAGUCUUGGGAGUGUUUUCCUUCCCACUCCUGUGCAGCACUGGCUUAUUAACCUACACACCACGUGACCCUUGACUUCUGUGGAGGGAUGAAUUGUGUCUUCCCAAAGAAGUCCUAGCCCCAGUACCUCAGAAUGUGAUGUAUUUGGA
rnacentral:lncRNA from 1 species